GGCUGGUCCGAAGGUGGUGAGUGAACUCAGUUGAUUGUUCACAGUCACAGAUCGAACUCCUUGUUCUACUCUUUCCCCCAUUCUCAUUACUGCACUUGACUAGUCUUAA
rnacentral:Y_RNA from 13 species